rnacentral:rRNA from 1 species
GUCUAUGGCCAUACCACCCUGAAUGCACCCGAUCUUGUCUGAUCUCAGAAGCUAAGCGGGGUCUGGCUUGGUUAGUACUUGGAUGGGAGAAGUUCAAAAAAUUGUAAUGA